rnacentral:rRNA from 1 species
UACGUAGGGUGCGAGCGUUAAUCGGAAUUACUGGGCGUAAAGCGUGCGCAGGCGGUCGCCGCAAGUCGGGUGUGAAAGCCCCGGGCUCAACCUGGGAAUUGCAUUCGAGACUGCGUAGCUAGGGUGCGGAAGAGGAGAUUGGAAUUCCUGGUGUAGCGGUGAAAUGCGCAGAUAUCAGGAGGAACAUCGAUGGCGAAGGCAGCCCCCUGGGCCGCUACUGACGCUCAUGCACGAAAGCGUGGGGAGCAAA